rnacentral:rRNA from 1 species
UGAUUUGAUUAUUUUCGUUAUAGGUAAAUUGUACCGUGAGGGGAUGAUUAUGGAAUUUUGUUUUUGAAAGUUGACUUGUUUUGUCGUACCUUGUGUAUCAGGGUUUACUAAUUUUUAUUAUUUAUUUUUGUUUCCCGAUUUCGGAAGAGUUACUUGCUUAUUUUAGUUGUUGUGGUAUCAACAUUAAUAAUACUUUAGUGGAGGUGAUAUGUCAUUCGUUUCCGGGGAUAUCUGGUUUCUUGGGAAAUAAAUUUAAUUUAUGCUUCUCGUUUAAUCGCCUUAUUUUUUUAAGGUUAUUUAAUGUGGAGUUAAUAUCUUGGGGGAUGAGCUUCGGGUUAAAUUUUUAUAACUUUAUUGCUUGGAAUUUUUGUAGGCUUUAUAGUGGCUAUCAAUAUGAGUAUGUUAAAAUUUUAUUUUUCUUUAUUCUGAUUUACUUGUUGUUUAAUUUUUUACUAGGACAUUUAGUUUAAUUUUAUAUUUAUCGUGAUUAUGGUAGAAUUAGUAAAUUCUUUUUUUGUGAAUUUCUUUGUAUGUUAGGUUUUGAAGAGGAAUUAGGCAAAAGGUGUGUGGUGCUCGCCUGUUUAACAAAAACAUCGCUUCUUGUUCAUAUAGGAAGUAGGGCCUGCCCACUGAUUUUAUUGAAGGGCCGCGGUAUUUUGACCGUGCAAAGGUAGCAUAAUCAUUAGUUCUUUAAUUGUGAACUGGUAUGAAUGGCUUGACGAAGUACCAACUGUCUUUUUAGGAUUUUAAUUGAAUUUAAUUUUUAGGUAAGAAUGCCUAACUUUUUUUAUGGGACGAGAAGACCCUAUAGAGUUUUAUGGGGAUUUACCUUUUGUAGUUUGUUUGUAUCUGUUGGUGAUUUUCCAUUUUGUUGGGGUGAUGGGAAGAUAAUUUGAACUCUUCUUUGUUGCGGAACACUAAUUUGUGGAUAGUUGAUCCUUUAUUAUUGAUUAUAAGAUUAAAUUACCUUAGGGAUAACAGCGUAAUCUUUUUUGAGAGUUCUUAUCGACAAAAGGGUUUGCGACCUCGAUGUUGGAUUAAGAUGAAUUUUUGGCGUAGAGGCUUUAAUAUUAUUAUUGGGUCUGUUCGACCCUUAGAAUCUUACAUGAUCUGAGUUCAAACCGGCGUGAGCCAGGUUGGUUUCUAUCUAUAAUCUUAUUUAAUUUCUUAGUACGAGAGGACCAGAAAUUUUGAAUAAUU